rnacentral:rRNA from 1 species
UACGUAGGGGGCAAGCGUUGUCCGGAAUCAUUGGGCGUAAAGCGCGUGUAGGCGGUCCGGUAAGUCGGCUGUGAAAGUCCAGGGCUCAACCCUGGAAUGCCGAUGGAUACUGCCGGGCUAGAGUUCGGAAGAGGCGAGUGGAAUUCCUGGUGUAGCGGUGGAAUGCGCAGAUAUCAGGAGGAACACCGGUGGCGAAGGCGGCAUCCUGGACCGAGAUUGACGCUGAGGCGCGAAAGUGUGGGGAGCGAACAGGG